UUUUAAAAUCAUUUAUUUAAAUUGUACUUUUUUAUGAUUUCAUUAAUUAUCAGCUUUGCAUUAAACUCAUGAACCUCCUGCAGUUCCUUCAUGAACCCCAGUUUGGGAAACCUUGACAUAAUGUUAAUAACAACAAAUGGAAUAUAUUUUUAUUUAUAUCAAUAUGGUACAAGUUUAUCCUGUUUAAAUCGAUGUGAUAAAUGAGUUAGGUCAAAAGUAGUCUGAUUAUAUAACCUAAAAUGUGUGAUGUAAUGGAUUACGUUACUAAUUACAGUUUUUGUCAUAUCAUUUGGAAUCAGUAAAGGAUUACAAUUUGUAAGUUAUCUGCCCAGCUCCGUUUACACGUUUUUUUCCUGAAAGGUUUUAGUUGGAUGGUUAUCCAUUUUUUUUUUUAUGUUACUAUUUAUUUCAAAAUGUUCCGAGAGCAUUCAAAAGUAACAUUCUCAUAAUAAUGUUUUCAAAAUUAUCAAAUGGAAUGUUCCCUUAAUGUUUUAAACGGUUUAAAAACUGGGCAUUUUGAACAUUCAGAGAACAUUCAGCAAUGAUAUUUGUAUAAUUGAAUGGGAGCGUCUGGGUUAUCUGGUUUGUGUUUGUUGUGUAGGACGUGCUAUGCAGCUGCGGCCCACUCUCAUCGAAGACUUCAAGACCCUGGUGGCUGAGCAGGGAAUGAGUGAAGACACUAAUCAAAAAGUACAAAGGUACCCUCACGACGCAAACCAAUGCAAAACACACUUUUAUUCAGAUCAGAUGUCAUUGUUUUUGGCUCUGUGUCGUCAGGUGAAUGUAUUCCAGGUGAGCAGGUCACACCAGAGCCACAGAUCCAGAGGGCGAGGAGGAAUGUGGUCCUGCCGGCCCCUGAGGAGGGAUCGGGGGACGAUACACCCAUCUUCAGAGGACCUGGUGAGCAAUAGUGCCACUUAUGUGCUUUCAUAUAUGUAAACGAAUAUCAUAGGUGAUAG
rnacentral:lncRNA from 1 species